rnacentral:rRNA from 1 species
GACGAACCGAGCGAACGUUAUUCGGAAUCACUGGGCUUAAAGGGCGCGUAGGCGGGCGGAAAAGUCAGGGGUGAAAUCCGGCAGCUCAACUGUCGAAGUGCCUCUGAUACUCUCCGCCUCGAGGGAGGUAGGGGCGUGCGGAACUUCCGGUGGAGCGGUGAAAUGCGUAGAUAUCGGAAGGAACACCAGUGGCGAAAGCGGCGCGCUGGACCUCUUCUGACGCUGAGGCGCGAAAGCCAGGGGAGCAAACGGG